CUAGAUAGACGGGCUUUGAUCCCAUAAAAUUUUAGUUAACAGCUAAACACCUAAACCAACAGGCUUUUAUCCG
rnacentral:tRNA from 1 species